AUCUGCCGAUAUGCGAACCUGGAGAGUGGUUCGGACGGACGAGGAAGACGGAAGUGAGGAUCCUCCUCUCGCUCCUCGGCAACGAUAGGUGGGGCAGCUGUCUCGUGGUCUCACCCUGCCGUAGUGCCCGUAUGGGGAGCUCCUCCUCUUUCAACGCGUCCCCAGCUCCACAUGGCACCGCCCUCGUCCCUAACAGCCGCGCUGCUAAUCCACCUCCUGCGCGGCGGCUCCGACCUCGCGUCCGUCGCCGCCACGCACGCUAAGCUUGUCAAGGCCGGCAUCGCGACCCCCCUCUCCUCCUCCAAUCAUCUCCUCGCCGCCUACUGCCGCUACGGCGCGAUUGGCUGCGCCCGCGACCUGUUCGACGGAAUGCGGGACCGGGACGUCGUCUCCUGGACGACGCUCAUGUCCGGGUACGCCGCCGCCGCCCGGCCCCGGGACGCCGUGUCCCUCCUCCGCGCCAUGGGGUGCAGCGGCGUGCGGCCUAACGCGGUCACCUUCUCGACGGCCGCCUGCGCGUGCGCGCGCCUCGCGGACGCAGAACUCGGCCGGCAGGUGCACGCCCAAGUGGAGAUCGCCGGGUGCGCACGCGACACAGUCGUCGCCACUGCGCUCGUUGACAUGUACGGCAAGUCCGGCGGUGUCGAGGACGCGCGCGCGGUGUUCGACGCCAUGGCUGCGCCAGCGAGGAACGCCGUGUCGUGGGGCGCUAUGCUGGCCGUGUACGCGCAGAACGCUCUCGGGAACGAGGCGGUCGAGCUCUUCGCGGAGCUCAGGACGUGUGGCGGUGGCAUGGCGCCCAACCACUUCAUGCUGGCGAGCGUGGUGAGCGCGUGCGCAGGCAUGGCGCGUCUGGGCAUCGGUAGGUGCGUCCAUGGCGCUGUCCUUCGGCUUGGGUAUGGAAACAAUGACGUGAUUUCGGUGGCUUUGGUCGACAUGUACUCCAAGUGCGGGCGCUACGAGUACUCAAGAAAGGUGUUUGACAGGAUCAAGCAACCAUCCGUCGUCACUUACACCUCCAUCAUUGUCGCCGCAGCAAAGUACGGCCGCUGGACGUGCGCGCUUACUUUGUUCAACGAGAUGGUAGAUCAAGGUGUGCAGCCAAAUGAUGUCACUUUGCUCGGUGUCAUGCAUGCUUGCAGCCAUUCUGGCCUUGUUGACACUGGCCUUCAGCUCCUCCGCUCCAUGCAGAGCAGAUACGGCGUUGCUCCGUGCCCCAGCCACUACACAUCUGCCGUUGACAUGCUGGGCCGGGCAGGGCGGCUCGAGGAGGCAUUCGAGCUGGCCAAGGAGGCGCAGCUUGAAGGCAACGAUGCCCUCUUGCUGUGGAACUCCUUGCUGUCAGCUUGCCGGACACAUAAGCGCCUAGACCUAGCAACCAUGGCUGGCCAGAGGGUUUAUGAGUUCAAUAACCAGCAGGAUGUAGCAGCUGGGCUGGUAGUGAUGUCAAAUGCAUAUAUUUCAGCCGGUCAGAUAGAUAAUGCUGCCGCUGUGCGAUCAAGCAUGAGGCUGCGUGGCAUACGGAAGGAUCCCGGGUGCAGCUGGAUUGAAGUAAAGGAUACCCCCCAUGUGUUCUAUGCUGGUGCAGUAUCAUGCGCUGGUGCAUGGGCAGAUAAAGUUCUGAUGUUGCUAGAUGAAUUGGAGAGUAAGAUGAGGGAGAGAGGUUACAGGGGGAGAUUAGGGAGUGCUAGAGUAUCCGAUGCACAUGAAGAUGAGGAGGAAGGGAAAGGUGUGAUGGUUGGUGUGCACAGUGAGAUUCUUGCUUUAGCGUUUGGUUUGCUAGUUGUCCCGAAUGGGAUGACCAUCAGGGUGAUGAAGAACCUGAGGAUGUGCAGUGAUUGCCAUGAGGUGUUCAAGUUCAUCAGCGCCAUUGUUGAGAGCGAGUUCGUGGUCAGGGAUCUGAACAGGUUCCACCAUUUCAAGCUGGGGUCAUGUUCUUGCAAUGACUACUGGUGAUCCCAAAUUGUAAUCUCAGUGGUUCUGCUGUUCAUAGUAGAAAAGAACAACGUUAGCAUAUUAUCAGUUAUUAAAAAAUGUUGAGAAAUUAUCUUGCUGGAGAUGUUCGAGUGACUUAUUUUUGGGUACAACUACGGAACUACCAGACAUUGGUGUAGCUUCACAAAUCACAAACUCCGCUCUAGGAAGAAAAAGUAGAGUUGUGAGAACACAGAGGUACUCACAAACUUUCCUCCUCCUUUUUUUUGAGCAUCUCUAUAUAGGCUCUAGAUCUGAGCAUUUGUGGGUCAAUAGUUUGGAAUUUUUUUGGUGGCGAGGGCUAAAUUCCAGUGCCUGAAGGAGCGAAGUUGGGCCUUUGUUUUUGGGCCAGGCACAUGCCUAGUCAAGCCACCCGUUCUAUCUUAGUUGAAAAAAUUAAAAGAAAUAGUAGUUUAAUAUGGGUUCAGAUCUUGGCGUGCUUAUCAUUAUCCAGGACUUUUACAGAAAGAACAUCUCAACAGUACUGCCCAAAUCAGGCCUCUACUUUUCUUUUUAUAGGUAGUCAUUAACCACUUACUUUCAGGUGCUGUUUGGUUUGGUCAUUUUUUUCCGUUAUCCAUUGACCCAUUCACGAAAUAGAUUGUGUUGUUUCGUGUUUGGUUAGAACAGCUUAUAUUGUGUUGUCCAUAUUUUUUUAUUCUGAAAUUUUUUAUAAACAUAAAUAGAUCGAACCAAUUUCUAGUGAUAUUGAAGGAAUCGGUAUAGAUUUUGAUGGCAUCGGAGAAAUUUGCUUUAAAUAGAACUAAUGGCGUUAGCUUCAAACUAACGGUAAUGACAUUCAAGAUAUUAAAAUUUAAAUUUGAUGCUAUUAAAAGAAAGUUAUAAUUUCUGAUGAUAUUGAAGAGAUUGAUAUAAGUUUGGAUGGUAUUCAAGGGAUUUUAAAUUAUGAUGGUAUUCAAGAGAUUAAAAAAUUUAUGGAAUUUAAAAAAUCCGAUCCAUAUUUUUGUUGUUGGGUGUGAAAAGGCUACAAGGAUCGAUGGCAUAUCUGAUAUCUCCGGUGGGAGUGGGAAGCAGAGGUUAGGCAGGCACCCACCUCACGAUACGACCUUACGUUUGUUCUUGAACCGAUAUAUGAUCAUCUAUGUCUCAUUGACUUGACCGAAUCACUAAUAAGCAGCAGUAGUCGGCAUCAAUCCAACUCUGAUCCUGCAAUUGGUUCACCAUGCUUCUUCUUCAGGUCAUCCUUCUUGGACUCCUAUCCCUGCACGCGCCGUCCAACUCAGCCACCGCCACGGACACGGUGUACCCCGGCAAUGGCCUCGCCGGCAGCAGCAGCAAGCUCGUCUCCAACAACAGCAAGUUCGCGCUGGGCUUCUUCAGGAUGGACAACAAGUCCUUCAACUACGCCACCAACCCAUACACUUACCUCGGCAUCUGGUUCAACAAGGUCCCCAAGCUAACUCCGCUCUGGAGCGCCAACGGCGAGAGCCCGGUCAUGGACCCUGCCUCACCGGAGCUCGCCAUCGCCGGCGACGGGAACUUGGUCAUCCUGGACCAGGCCACCAGGUCCGUCAUCUGGUCUACCCAUGCCAAGACCACCACCAACGACACCGUCGCCGUGCUCCAGAACAACGGCAACCUCGUGCUCCGGAGCUCCUCCAACUCGUCCACCGUCUUCUGGCAGAGCUUCGACUACCCGACCGACACCUUCUUCGCCGGAGCAAAGAUUGGCUGGGACAAGGUAACCGGUCUGAACCGCCGCCUUGUUUCGAGGAAGAACCUGAUAGAUCAGGCCCCUGGCCUGUACACUGGGGAGAUACAGAAGAAUGGGGUUGGCCAUCUCGUGUGGAACUCGACAGUAGAAAUCGAGUCCACCGGGCUGUGGAACGGCCAGUACUUCAGCUCGGCGCCGGAGAUGAUAGGCAACACCGACAACAUCACAACUUUCGAGUAUGUCAACAACGAUAAAGAGGUGUACUUCACAUGGAAUCUGCACGACGAGACGGCGAUCGUGCUCUCGCAGCUAGGUGUCGAUGGCCAAGGCAUGGUGAGUCUGUGGAUUGACAAGGACUGGGUGGUAAUGUACAAGCAGCCUGUACUCCAGUGCGAUGCCUACGCAACGUGCGGACAAUUCACAGUCUGUGAUGAGGGUGAGAACGAGGGCCCAAUCUGCAACUGCAUGAAGGGUUUCUCUGUAAGCUCACCCAGGGACUGGGAGCUGGGAGACCGGAGAGACGGGUGCAAGAGGAAUACUCCAUUGCACUGUGGAAGGAGCCGCAACACAGAUAAGUUCUACGAUGUGCAAAAGGUCAUGUUGCCCCAGGACGAAAUGAAAAUUCAGGCUGCAACAAGUGAUGAGGAUGACUGCUCACGGGUUUGCUUGGGUAACUGCUCGUGCACUGGAUAUUCCUAUAGGGAAGGAGGUUGCUCUGUCUGGCAUGGCAAAUUGACCAAUGUGAAGAAGCAACAACCUGAUGGAAAUGGGGAAACACUUUACCUACGCCUUGCUGCUAAAGAGGUGCCAGGGGUGCCGAGGAAGAAUAGUAGAAUUUUUCGCUUUGGUGCUGCCAUUAUUGGCGCAAGCGCUGCAGCUGUUGCUGCCCUGAUGAUCCUUGGUCUGAUGAUGAUUUGGAGGAGAAAAGGGAAGCUGUUUACCCGCACCGUGGGAGAUGCUCAAGUUGGCAUUGGGAUCACUACGUUCAGAUAUGUCGAUUUGCAGCAUGCAACCAAGAACUUCUCUGAAAAGUUAGGGGGAGGCAGUUUCGGUUCCGUAUUCAAGGGGUACCUAAGUGACUCACUUGCACUGGCAGUGAAAAGGCUCGAUGGCGCCAAUCAAGGGGAGAAGCAAUUCAGAGCAGAAGUGAGCUCGGUUGGAAUCAUCCAGCACAUCAAUUUAGUCAAACUGAUCGGGUUCUGUUGCCAAGGUGAUCAGAGGUUACUGGUUUAUGAAUACAUGCCAAAUAGCGAUUGGAGUUGCCAGAGGCCUGGCCUACCUGCACACUGGUUGUCGGGAUUGCAUUAUACACUGCGACAUCAAGCCAGAGAACAUACUCCUUGAUGCGUCUUUUGUACCGAAAAUUGCAGAUUUUGGAAUGGCAAAGGUGUUGGGGAGGGAAUUUAGUGACGCGAUAACUACGAUGAGAGGAACUAUUGGGUAUCUUGCGCCUGAAUGGAUCAGCGGAGAAGCUGUCACAUCUAAAGUGGACUUUACAGCUAUGGAUCGGUCUUAUUUGAAAUAGUAUCAGGGAGGAGGAAUUCGAGCCAAGAACACUCCAAGGAUGGUGAUUAUUCAGCAUUUUUCCCAGUGCAAGUUGCACGCAAGCUUCUGAGCGGAGACAUUGGCAGCCUGGUGGACGCAAAUUUGCAUGGUAAUGUAAAUCUUGAGGAGGUUGAAAGAGUUUGCAAAGUUGCAUGCUGGUGCAUUCAAGAUAGCGAGUUUGAUCGACCGACCAUGACCGAGGUGGUGCAGUUUCUUGAGGGUGUUUCUGAGCUCCACAUGCCUCCGGUGCCAAGGCUACUCGAUGCUAUCACAGGAGGAGCCACCAACACCAAAAUCUACUCAAUGCUAUCACUGGAGGGGUCACCUACAUCAGUGUGACAUCUGUUUAGCUGUCCCUCAAACUAAAAUAUAACUCUUCAGAAAAAAUUUAGCUAUCCCAUGAGAAUAUAGUAAUUUAUAUCAUAUCAUAUAUAUGUAAGGACUUGGGCAUUUGUGGCAUGCUAGUGCAUCUCGAUCAAUGUAACCUGGAGGUGGUAGAAAAACAAAUAUGUACG